AGUGAACGCUGGCGGUAGGCCUAACACAUGCAGGUCGAACGGCAGCACAGUAAGAGCUUGCUCUUACGGGUGGCGAGUGGCGGACGGGUGAGGAAUACAUCGGAAUCUACUUUUUCGUGGGGGAUAACGUAGGGAAACUUACGCUAAUACCGCAUACGACCUACGGGUGAAAGCAGGGGAUCUUCGGACCUUGCGCGAUUGAAUGAGCCGAUGUCGGAUUAGCUAGUUGGCGGGGUAAAGGCCCACCAAGGCGACGAUCCGUAGCUGGUCUGAGAGGAUGAUCAGCCACACUGGAACUGAGACACGGUCCAGACUCCUACGGGAGGCAGCAGUGGGGAAUAUUGGACAAUGGGCGCAAGCCUGAUCCAGCCAUACCGCGUGGGUGAAGAAGGCCUUCGGGUUGUAAAGCCCUUUUGUUGGGAAAGAAACGCAGCAGGUUAAUACCCCGCUGUUCUGACGGUACCCAAAGAAUAAGCACCGGCUAACUUCGUG
rnacentral:rRNA from 1 species